rnacentral:rRNA from 1 species
GAGACUCUGUGCGCGUGCAUAUCAAUAAGCGGAGGAAAAGAAACUAACAAGGAUUCCCUUAGUAACGGCGAGUGAAGCGGGAAGAGCUCAAAUUUGAAAUCUUCAUAGGUUCUACCUUGACGAAUUGUAGUUUAUAGAAGUGUUUUCUGUUAGUAGGAGUGGCAAAAGUUCUUUGGAAUAGGACAUCAUAGAGGGUGAGAAUCCCGUAUUUGGUCAUUCUUUCUAGCUUUGUGAUACACUUUCAACGAGUCGGAUUGUUUGGGAAUGCAGUCCAAAAUGGGUGGUAAAUUUCAUCUAAAGCUAAAUAUUGGCGAGAGACCGAUAGCGAACAAGUACCGUGAGGGAAAGAUGAAAAGAACUUUGAAAAGAGAGUUAAACAGUACGUGAAAUUGUCAAAAGGGAAGCGUUUGACACCAGUGUUGUUUUUCCGAAAAUCAAUUACGAAUGUUUUAUUUUUGAGAAGUUAUGACUUCAUCGGCUUGCUUCUCUCUUUAUGAAACUUUCUUAAUGCACUUUUCGGUUAACAAGUCAACAUCAAUUUCUUUUGUUGUAAAAGGGUAUGAGGAAGGUGGCUUUCUUUUCGGAGAAAGUGUUUAUAGCCUUGUACCUCUGCAAUCGGAGAGAUUGAGGUCUGCAGCGUAGAUCCUUCGGGGUUAGAUACAUUUGUGCUAAGUUAUAGCUUUUCAUAGACAACUUGUUGACUAUGUUAAGUCUUGUAGCUUACUCGCUUAUGCUACUUUACCUACGCUUAGGAUGUUGACAGCAGUAUAGACUGU